rnacentral:rRNA from 1 species
AUACGUAGGGGGCGAGCGUUGUCCGGAAUUACUGGGCGUAAAGGGUGCGUAGGCGGUUAGAUAAGUCGGAUGUGGAAUACCCGGGCUUAACCCGGGGGUGUCAUACGAAACUGUGUAACUUGAGUGCAGAAGAGGAAAGCGGAAUUCCCAGUGUAGCGGUGAAAUGCGUAGAUAUUGGGAGGAACACCAGUGGCGAAGGCGGCUUUCUGGGCUGUAACUGACGCUGAGGCACGAAAGCGUGGGGAGC